GACGUAGGGAGCAAGCGUUGUCCGGAAUUACUGGGCGUAAAGAGCUCGUAGGCGGGAUCGUAAGUCUUAAAGGAAAUCUCACGGCUCAACUGUGGGGCUUUUUGAGAUACUGCGAUUCUUGAGGAUGUCAGAGGAAAGUGGAAUUCCCGGUGUAGCGGUGAAAUGCGUAGAUAUCGGAAGGAACAUCAGUGGCGAAAGCGACUUCCUGGUCCAGCAUCGACGUUCAGGCACGAAAGCGUGGGGAGCAAACAGG
rnacentral:rRNA from 1 species